rnacentral:misc_RNA from 1 species
UGCAAGUCAUAAGACUUGUCUGCAGUC